UUAUCGUAGUUCAGGGGGAGCAUCUACAUCUGGUGAAUUUACUUAUGACACCUCUUUGGUUGUCUUACAUUCUUACCUUAGUGAUCUUGAAGGUAAGUGCAUUACUCGGUUGUCCUGUGAUUGUCUUUUCUUCAAUUACUGAAGCAUGGGCCCAACAAGAACUGGAGUUGAAUGAUAGAGUGCUUCCAGAGUAACUUUGCUUCCUUUCCUUAGUCGUAUGAUAACAUUGCAAUGAAGAAGCUGACGGCAUAUAUGUGAGGGAAACCAAAAGCAUUUGCUUUGCAUAUUCUACAAAUUUCAACAAUACACUUAAGUGGCAAUUUUUUUUUGCACCUAAUUCUCCCAAAAAAAGGUUGUUCAUUGCCUCAAAGUAGGAUUGGCUCUUUCCCUUGUGUCUGUGUUUUAUUACAUGAGGCCUCUGUGUGAAGUUGUUGGAUGGAAUGCUAUGUGGGCUGUUAUGGUAGUUGAAGUAGUAUUUGAGUACACUCUAGGUUCUACACUUUAUAAGUGUGUAAAUACAGCUAUGGUAGCAUGUCUCACUGAAUCUCUAGGAAUUGAUGUUCACGGGUAGGAAGUCAAUCUAAAGAAAGAUUUGAACUUGUUAUUCUCCAAAAAGUAGCUGCAUGUGGUUUGCUCCAAAUUGAUUUGGGCGUGUGAAUCGAACUUCAGGUAUGUCUUCGAUGUCUGCAAAAUAUUUGUUCAUCUCUCUUAUAUUUUGUUUAUUGCUCUUCUCUGUGCCUUUGAUUUUCUCCAACAGCUAACAGUGUGAUUAAUGAAAGCUAGAUGAGGGAUUGUGUAUGUAAUACAUCUUUCCUUUCUUGUGUCUG